GUCCAUUGUUCCAAGACUGGAGGCCUGGGGCUCUCUUUUCCCCUUGCUACAGUAGCAAAAGUAGAGCCCCCGGCGAUUUCCGAUCCCGUGCCCGCUUCUAUCUGAUUCCUCGCCUCCGCCGGCGCCGCCGGCGCCGAGAGAGGUGAGAAUCGAGCGUGGAAGCGGGUACGGUUCUGUAUAUCUGCUAACUCUAGUUAUAGCUCUAGUAGACUAGAUUUUCUAGCGGUUAGUAUGUAAGUCGCCAGUACUGGUUCCUUCCAUGGCGGAUCCAGCAUCAGUGGCGGCUUCAUCGGCGCUGAUGGAUUCAGUGGUUAUGCGCUAUGGAGGAUUGUAUCCAUGGUGGUGUGCACGAAGACGGCGACGAUGGCGAUGUCGGCGGCGGAUUUCUCAGUGCCACUGCAUGGAGGUAUGGCCCUCGGCCAUUGUUAGCUUGGACGUUCAGCGAUUUAGGUGCACAUCUUGUGAUGUGCCGAUUGAUGUGGCUUCAAAAUUGUAUGUUGCUUCUUCGUGGAGACGGUUUCGGCUUCAAGCUGCAAACUUGGCGUUCACUUCGGCGUUGAGUGGCGGCCGGUGUCGAAGAUGACUGGGAGUUUUGUACAAAGGACUUGAAUGUAAUUUUCUUUAUACUCAGACAUGUCCUUGUAAAGAAAUCUGUACAAUCCUUUAUAUGAAUCAAUAAAUGCAACCCGGUUUUCUCAAAAAAAAAA